UCCACAUGUGUGAUCCCAUUCUCUCCCCUCUCAGUUAACCUCUCCCGUUUCCUCAAACCCUUUGGCAUCCGUACCUUUUUUACUAACACACCUAACCUCCACUCACUCCUUAGGCAUCCCAUCACAAAAACCGACUCCUCCACUGAUCCUCUAACAUCUUCUGGAGCAGUCUACUCGGUCUCGUGCCAACAGUGUCCUGCCACCUAUGUGGGGGAGACUGGUAGAACCAUCGCCAUCAGAAUGACCGAACACACACGCAACAUCACCAACCGAGAUACCCGUUCCCUUAUUUUCCAACACAUUGCAUCUUCUGGCCAUUCCUUUGACACUGCUAACCCAACCAUUCACUACAAAAAUAUCUCCAACCUACACCAGAGAUUGGUUCUAGAAUCCAUAGUUUCAUCCAAGCUACACAGCAUAAAUAGAAAAAUAGACAUCCCCGCAGCCUACACAAACUACAUUUAAACCUCCCACAUGUUUAUUUCAAUAGCCCAAACCAUGCGCCGUCUCGUGGUCUCAGACAGCAGAUUUAAUAUUUACUUUAUUCAAAAUCUGUUUUCAGUUAAGAUUAACAUAUAUAUAAAUCGUUAUUUAUCUUUCUUUGUAUAGUUAUAUUUUUGCCUGUCGAAGGGCUUUUGCCCGAAAGCUCGUAGCAUUCAAUCAAUAAAAGAAACUCAUCUUCUGAUCCUCCUUAAUUGAUAUAACUUACUAGAAGAGUCUUUCCCUUUAAUUGUUACCAUUAUCAGACAUAAGUACUGAACACCAAAAUGUCACAAACAUUUGGUCUUGAUACCCAAUGUUUCUUAUCAUUUGUUCUAUAUAUACAUAUGCAAGAGAUUAAGACUAAAUAUGGCCAGUCAAAGACCAACACAACAAGAUCUCACAAUGGUGUGGAGCUUCCAGAGGUUGUAGUAGGGAGAGGAAGUGGGGACAGCCGAGCGGAACUUGAGCCACAUCACAAUGUUGCCAACUGCAUUCAGGAUGGAGAAGAGAGCCGACGCUGGCUCCUGGAUCCCCAGGAAACGGAUGAAGGGCCACUGGACACAAGUUUCUAUGACAAUUGACAACAGUUUAUAUUCAUCCAGUCAACAGUAUGGAGAAGGUUUACAGCCAUUUUUAAAAUAGGGAGAAAUAUAUACAACAGACGGAGGGACGUCUGGAUUUCAUCAGGAGCUUAAAGCCGUCUUGAGUUCAGACAGUCCGUUGUGGAUUAUGAAAUCCAGAAGUUUCUAUGUUAUAGCAUUGUCAGGCUUGAAGCCAGUUCUACAUCUUGAUAUGGCACAAUUUGGAUUAUAGAUCACAAACACAUGUUAAUAACACCAAAUAAAUUAAUAGUGUUUGACAUUACAGUAACAAUAUUUUCAGUUUGCCAAAGCUGGUGUUGUGGCUUUGUCACCGACCCGAAGCCGCUAGUUGCGGCGACGGUCAAUAGAUGGCGUCUGGUUUUAGACGUCUAUUUUGACGGGAGAGGAGACCCUUUUCUCUUUAGAAUAUUGAUACCAUCACACUAGUUACUUUAGUUGAAUUUGAUCUUAUCACCUUGUGUUUCAGUCCAUGAUAAGGCACAAUUUGGAUUAUAGAUUAUAAACACAAGGUAAUAAGUCCAAAUACAAAUAAAUAAAUAGUGUGUGAUGUUGCGGUAACAGCAUUGUUACCAUCUUCAGAAUGAGAAUUUAUACCACAGCAUGUUUUAAAUAGUUACUGUUAUCAAAAAAACAUGCUGUGGAAUAAUUUCUCAUUCAAUACUUUUGUCUGAAGAUUGUAACAAUGCUGUUACCAAAACAUCACACACUAGUUCCUUUAUUUGAAUUUGAUCUUAUUACCUUGUAGACUUAUUACCUUGUGUUUCAUAACUCCAUUAGUUUAUCAUUGUGUUGGGGAACCUAGUUAAGUCUGAUUUUAAAAGUUUAACAUUUUUAAGAUUUAUGUUUUGAUAUGUUUAAGGGAUUCAUGGGAAGUGUUUUUUAUAAAUACAGUAAUGAGAGGACACUCUCACUAGAAGACACCUCUCUAUAAAGGACAGUUUUCAUCAAUGAAAUGACCAUUUUUACUAAUUAGCAGUUCUCUGGUAAGAGAACACCUCUCCCUAAAGGACACUUUGGCUCUGUAACUAGGUGUUGUCCUGAUAAAGCACAAUUUGGAUUAUAGAUUAUAAUAAAAGAAAAUAAAACCUAAUCCAAAUAAUUUAUUAGUGUGUGACGUUUCGGCAACAACAUUGUCACCAUCAUCAGACAAAACAGAUUUUUUUAUUCUUUUGUCUGAUGAUGGUGACAAUGUUGUUGCCGAAACGUCACACACUAAUAAAUUAUUUGGAUUAUGUCUUAUUUUCUUUUAUAGGUGUUCUCCUUUACAGAGUUCUGCUGUAAUGUAUAUUCAAUGCUUUCACAAGUCCAAUCCUCCAGUGAGUAUAAACAAGACUGAAUCACACUAAUAUGUGAAAAUGUUGAACAGCUUUUACAUGUGUUUAAAUAUGUGGUUAACAAUGCUGUUACCGAAAUGUCACAUAAAAAAAAAAUUAUUCGUUUGGGUUAGGUCUUAUUACAUUGGGUUUUUAUGUUUUUUUUUCACACACAAAAACCUUUAUUAAAACACACUGGUCUUACAGAGGAUUCUCCUUGGGGUUACAAGAUGGAGAAACCUAUGAAAGUGGGAAAUAUACAAAGGGGUAAAAAAUUUUAUGUAAAUCAAUAUAAAUGUCAAAGAUGAAGUAACAAAGUUCCUGGUGUUUACUCUUCAAAACUUUUUACAAAUCACACAGACUUGUUCUGUCAUUCUAUCCUAUGACAGAAGUUUCUGCCAACUCUGAAAUGUGUCUGUACAUGUGUGCCAACCAUUUAAUAUUGCAAUCAACAUUACUACAGUCAACUUUUGUUAAGAUGUCCUACAAAAUCCAAAAUCAUAUCCAGUCCCAAUAAUUCCUAGUUCCAUUUGAUAAUUGUGUGUUACAAAUUGGCAUUUAACACUUCGAGGACGCAGCCUAAGCAGACCUCAUGGUCCACCAGGACGCAGUAAAAACGACACUUUUAUGAAAAAUAAAAUUUAAUAUAUUUAUUUUAGUAAUAUAUGCCAAAUUUAUAAGCCAAUAUAUAUAGGGUUUAAAAUUAUUUUUAAUGCUAUAUAAAAUGAAUUUUGAUAAAGAAAUAAAAAUAAUAAAAAAAUAAAAAUUAUAUAAAAAAAAAACAAAAACUAAAUUCACUCCAACACAUAGACAAAUGUUAUAUAUACAAAAAACAUGCUGAAAUUUAGUAAGAACUAUUUAUAAAGGCCAUUUCUAAGAGCCAAUUAGAGCCAAUACUUCUCCUUGGUGUGAAAAGCCUCAAAACAAUCAUUUAUACACAGAGGAACAAGGCAGGUCUUGCACAUAUAAGCAGUGUCCUUCCUUAUUCUUUUUCCAGUGGCACUUUUUCCUUUUUCAGCACAGACUUUGCAUUUUCGUUGGAUAUUUACAUUUGGCUUGUUUUCUUCUUUUAUUCUUGUAAUGAAGUGUCUCUCCAAAAGUCUGGCUUUUGAGCUUGAACUACCAAGUUGUUGAUCUGUGAUCUCAACUCCGGCUUCUUCAACCAGUUUUUCCAUAAUGACAAGAUGGUAGUCUCGGAGUGACAGUUUGGAUGUUGGAUUUAAUUUAUUAUAAAUUAUAUGAGAAUUGACUAUUGUCAGGCCAAAGAUGUGAAAGAAAAGCUUUUUCCACCAUUUCAUAGUUCUCCGCUGAAAAGAGUAGUAAGAGAGGAGCUGGUCACUUCUGUCAACACCAGCCUUGUGCUUGUUGUAGUCCAAUACUGCAGCUGGUUUCAUGGUGAGAGGUUGGUCAGAUUUCCUGGCUUUCUUGGUUACAGGUAUCAUGGCAUGAUCAUGUGCUGUGGAGACCAUGAAAACGUCCCUAGUAUCAUGCCAUUUGAAUGCCAAAAGAGGACCUUUCAUUCUGUAAAUUACCUCUCCUUUUUUCAAUUUUUUGGAAAAUGCAUUUUUUGGCAAGCCUCUUCUAUUUUUUUUUAUUGUUCCCACAGCUUGGGUAUUGUUUCUCCAGAGAAAUUGAAAAAGUGUGGUAGAGGAGAACCAUCUGUCAAAGUAUAUAACAUGUCCUCUAUUGAAGUAUGGAGCCGCUAUCCUUUCCACCAGUUUUAAGGUCGAAUUGUAGUCUGCACCUUGACCAGGCUGCUUCCCUGUGUACACUUCUAUGUUGCAGGCAUAUCCUGAACUUGAUUCACAAAGUUCAAAUAUCUUUAUCCCAUAUUUGUGUGGCUUUCCUUUGAUAUAUAUUCUGAACCGUAUUCUUCCUCUAAAAGGACAUAUAGCUUCGUCAAUAGUCAAAGGUUGGCAGGGAUAGUAAUAUGUUUUGAAUUUGUGGACCAGAGGAUCAAGGAAUGUCCUAAUUUUAUGGAGAGGAUCAUGGCCUGGUUGACCAAAAGCCACAUAGGAAGCGUUGUCAUUUAGGUGAAGCAUGGAGAGAAUGGCUUCAAACCGUGAUCUGAUCAUCCCCACAUCUCUGCAGUAAGUUGUCCUAAGUUCACUGCGGGUUGACCAAUAAUCUUUCAAUCUGGUCUUUACAACAACGCUCAUGUGAAUUAUUAUAGCCAUAAAUAUCUUGAGCUCAGACACAGAAACAGCUUUCCACAUUUCUAAAUGACUCCUAGGAUUCAAAGGACCCUUUUUUCUUUCUCUGUCUAUGGUUGCCCUAGCAUAGCGGUUAGUCUCAAGUUUCAGAUUACCAAAAAAAUCCUCAUCAAUAAAUUUUUUGAAUAUCUGGUAAGGAGAGUUAGGUUCUGGAAAUAACUCGGCCCUUGGUCCAGGUUGGGCAGUAAACAGAGGUCUGGGUAUCGUGGAUGUAGUAGUUUCAAUCCAGUCAUCACUUACCAGAGGAGUCCUUGUUGUUGCAGGAGCCUCUUCAUCUCUUGGUCCCUCCAAAUAUAUUUCUGUUGAAUCCGAAUCAAUAUCUUCAUCAGAGUUAGCAUGGAGUGUGAAAUCAGGAUCCUCAAAAGAAUCAUCUAAUUCUGAUCCAGAAUCAAAAAGAUGGGGGUCAUACAUCUCCCACUCUGGAGAUGGGCAAGAGGAGAUAACUUUGGAUGUACUGGGCUGAUCAGGAUUCAUUUUUAUCCAAAAAUGUCUAUUGAAAAUAUUAGAAACUUCAAAUAAAAAUAUUAAGCAAAAAAAAAACGUGACAAGAAGAAGCGCGCAAAGUACAAUUGGCAAAUGACGGCAGAUUAAAAAUAGGUCAGUAGAGGUUGGGAGGGGAGGAAACUCGAGGAAGCGCGCACUCAAAACUCAAUUUAAUUGGUCAGCCAUCCACCCUAUCACGUGGCAAAGUGGUGAACGACCUUGAGGCAUGUUUAAACUUGCAGGAGGCAAGUGGCCACGGGACGUAGCGCGCGCUAUGAUUUUAUACCGAUUUUUAAGAAAGUAGGACGUUAAUAUACGUCCUGCGGGCACUGUGCCAUUUUCGCGAGGACGUUAAUUGACGUCCUGCAUCCUCGAAGUGUUAAAAAAAAAAAGAUUCAUAAUAACAAUCUAUUUGUUUAAUAAAGUGAGCAUACAGUAGAACCUCCCUGUAAAAGAUAACGGGUGAGUCAGCGACAUUUGGCCCAAUCUGAGACUAGCCUAUCAUUGGUCGUGACGUCACUGUGACACGCAAUGUAAACAAAGGCUAUGAUUGGUUCUUUCUACGCGUCAAAUAUUUUUAAAACAAAAUUUAAUUAUUUCAAAUACCUGUGAUUACUUUAUAUUGUUAUAUAUAUCUUUUGUCUAAAUGGCCUUCUAUCUUAUAUUAGAAAAUUUUUUGAAAAUAAUUUAACGUAAUUGUAAACAUGUGUUAUGAAUACACACAAUGUUAAUACCUUGAAAGCAAUGAGAGGCUUAGUCUCAGAUUGGGCCAAAUGUCACGGACUCACCCAGGACAACACUCAAUUACAGAAACAAAGUGUCCUUUAGGGUAUUCUCUUACCGGAGAGUUGCAAAAUUGUAAUUUUGUAAAUGAAAAUUGUCCUAUGUAGAAAGAUGUCCUUUAGCAUGAGUGUCCUCUCAUGGAGGUUCUACUGUAUUUAUAAUUUUGAGGUUUAUUUUUAGAAGAAAAAAAAAAAGGUAUCAGAACUAUAUUCAAAAGUGUCAAACCUAAUAACUAUUCAUAUUUCAAUAGAUGAAUUGUAAUGUUUGACAAAAUUGAUACUGCUGCUGAAAUUUCAUACAAAGGUUAUUUAAUUUUGUUCAUGUGUUUCUUUUAUAGUUUUAAUUUAAAUACUAUCAAUUCAAAUGUACUUAUUAACAAAAUGAAAGCAAAAAUGACAUAAAAACUUACUUUUCCGUGAAAUUGCGGUAUGAAGUGAACAGAUUGGUGUAUUUUAUCUAAGGAUUGCCACAUACAUUGGUAACUACAUUCGUCUUGACAAUCCCAUUGUAAUAUUUGUAAAUGCAAAGGCUGGUUAACGUAUUCAUUUUCAUUUGACGUACAGUUAUUUACUUUGCAAUAAUAAACACAUCUUAGGUACGGGAUAGCCCGGUCGCCUGGCGAACAUAAUAUACAAUCGUUAAUACUAAGGAAAAUGAAGACAGUCAAUAAAAAAUUAAAUUUGACUGUCGGCAACAUGAAAAUAAUCUAAUAACAUCGUUAAACAAAGUUUAUCAUCUCAGAAACUUAAGGGAAGAGAUAAUAAUAAAAAUAAAUAGAAUCAAAGUCAAAUUGUUUUUAUUAGAAAAUUGUAGGACUUGAUAGGUGUACUCUGUGACACGUUAUUUCUUUGGCUUGCAAUUUAGUCAUGUCUUUUUUUUUUUUUUAACAUAUCCCCUUCAAAAUAUAAUAUGCCCAAACCACAUUACUAAUAUGCUCAAAAUAUAUUUCGAUUUCCUUAUAAUUGAAAGCAACAUGUAAGGUUGCACAAUAUUUUUAUUUACACUUGACUUAUAUCAUAAUUUAGUAUUUUUAAGAGGAUAGAUGAAUUUACCCCCAUUCAUGAGAGUUUACAAAUGGUAAUUCAAAGUGUCUUGCUAUUGAGGAGUACUCCCAAUCUUGCCAACAUUUGACAAAUCUAGUCCCUAUACUCGAUAUGUGCUUCCCUAUGUUACUUCAUUAGAAAAAUCCCCUACAGCUUCCUAAUGCCAAAUUGAAUAUUCAACUGUGCACCGUAGAUGGAAUUUACACUAACAAAAUAAGGGUCCAGCUAAAAGAAUUAUUAUCCCUUACAAGCUCCAAAAUGUUGUCAUAGAGCAUCACUAGACAGUGUUUUCAGAAAACACCCAUCAAAUUACUUCUUGAAAGAUAAAAGGAAGAAUUGGAAAUCUGUUCAGUCCUUAAUUUGAGCUGCAAAGUUCAAGCUCAAAGCUAACCAAGUUGAAACAGCUGAACAGGGGGUUGAUGGAAGGAUGGUCUAAACCGUUGGUUUUCGACCGCUACGACCCAGGUUCUAUUCCCGAAUUGGGCCCUUUUUUAUGAUAAAAAAAUGCUCCAAUGGCCCCCGAUUCUUGCAAAAGUCCAACCCCAACAGCGAGUGCAAGUAACCAAAUGGGGCUCUCGCACAUUUAUAAGUGCAAAGUCGAACUUAUUUUCACAUGUGUAGACAUGUGGUGCACUUACAGUAAAAGCAGUCACCAACUUCUACCGACCAUAAUUAUCAUGGCCUGUACCACGUGUACUAGGGAUAAGCAAAAAAAAAAAAAAAACAGCCGAAUUCCUCUACCAGGGCUACCCCUCCCCUCAAUUAAGAUACUCCAUUUCACCCAACAAGUCAAUUACCUGAAAAAUAAAAGCCACCUCUCUCGUCAAAAUAAUGAACGUCAAAACUAGACGCCAUCUAUUGACCGUCACCGCAAACUAGUGCUCUCGAGUCGGCGACAAAGCCACAACACCAGCUUUGGCAAACUGAGAAACGCCAACCUGUAGACCAUCACCUUCUUCAGUCCAGGGAGGGCUUUACUCCAAGAGAUCCACAAGGGAUCAAAUGGGAUCUUCACAAUCUGCUAAAGAGGCGUUUAGCUGCCAAAAUAGCUAGGCCAAAUCUAUGGUCAAAAUAUAAAUGGAAAUUUUGUUUUUGAAUUUUAAAUAUAUUAACGCUUUUUCUCUAACUCUUAAUAAUCUAUGAAAAAGGCAUCUCCUUAUCGUGCAACUGAAAGUUGCUGAUGGCUUGCGCCAUCUAUCGGAAUAAAUAUCAACUAUUUUCGUUGAUUUUUAAUUAUUCCAGAAUUGGCCAAAUUAUUCUUAAUAAUCUGUUAGACUUUCAUCACAGAUAAUUUAUAAAUAUAUCAAAGCCUAAUGUCAAUAGGAUUUGGUAUCAGCAGCAACCCACGAUUGGUGCAAAGCAAAGAAAGUAAGAACAAGCAUCAAGUCUCAAGAAGACAGCAGUUCAUGAUUAGCAUACUCAAAUACUUCCACAACGGUUGCAAGGUUUUCCCACUAUAUCUAACUUCUAACAUCUAACCACAUUAUUGACAGUCUCGGUUCAUUCAUCCAUGAGCUUUACUCAUCUCCAGAAAAUACCAUCAAAAAAAUCAAACAGAUAACACGUUUAAGAAAUGGAAGCAUUGUAAAGAACAAAACAAACUUCUACUGUCCUUACUGCGAUGAAAAUAUUGGGGAGAGCUUGGCUCGUCAGUGGUGAACCCUCCCAGCGGUUUCGCCAAUUUAAUCCACCAGACCGCUUCUUAGAGCUCUAAUACUGUAUUGGACGAUUCUACUUAUAUACACUGCAAUGCGGGUGAAAUAUUAAAAUAGUAUUUAAGCAAACUAUGGACACAUUUAGGACAGCAGAAUUACAUAUAUAUAUAUAUAUAUAUAUAUAUAUAUAUAUAUAAAAAUCAAUGUUUGUAUGUUUGUUUGUUUGUAUGUCCGGUAUACAAAUUCGCAGUAUUUCACUAAUUUAAACCAAAAUUUCCAUACAUAGGUAAAAAAAAAAAUACGGGGAAGACGAUAGGCUAUUUUAAAAAAUAUAUAAAUCAAUUAUUAAAAAUAUAUAUUAAAAUUAUUCUACUUAGCUCACGAACAGCGCCCUCUAUCAAAGAUUAGAUUAA